rnacentral:rRNA from 1 species
UACGUAGGGCGCAAGCGUUGUCCGGAAUUAUUGGGCGUAAAGAGCUCGUAGGCGGUUUGUUGCGUCUGCCGUGAAAACCCGAGGCUUAACCUCGUGGCUUGCGGUGGAUACGGGCAGACUAGAGGUAGGUAGGGGAGAAUGGAAUUCCCGGUGUAGCGGUGAAAUGCGCAGAUAUCGGGAGGAACACCGGUGGCGAAGGCGGUUCUCUGGGACGGUACUGACGCUGAGACGCGAAAGCGUGGGGAGCGAACAGG